UUUGGUUUCCUCCAAUGUCUCA
rnacentral:miRNA from 1 species